GAGUUUGAUCCUGGCUCAGGAUGAAUGCUGGCGGCGUGUCUAAGGCAUGCAAGUUGAAUGGUUUUUUGCUCUAUACUUCGUUUAGAGCUAUGAACCGCUUGCGCUGAUUAAAAGGUGCUUGUAGUUUGUAGCUUGAACGCGGUAAUGAGUAAAGAACCAUGGCAAACGGGAGAGUAACACAUUGAUAACCUGCCCCGAAGACGAGGAUAACCUGGCGAAAGUCAGAAUAAUACUCGAUAGCAUUAAAGAGCUUAUGCUUUUUAAUUAAAGUUCAGGCGCUUCGNGAGGGGUCUAUGGCCUAUCAGU
rnacentral:rRNA from 1 species